GACGAACGCUGGCGGCGUGCUUAACACAUGCAAGUCGAACGGAAAGGCCCUGCUUUUGUGGGGUGCUCGAGUGGCGAACGGGUGAGUAACACGUGAGUAACCUGCCCUUGACUUUGGGAUAACUUCAGGAAACUGGGGCUAAUACCGGAUAGGAGCUCCUGCUGCAUGGUGGGGGUUGGAAAGUUUCGGCGGUUGUGGAUGGACUCGCGGCUUAUCAGCUUGUUGGUGGGGUAGUGGCUUACCAAGGCUUUGACGGGUAGCCGGCCUGAGAGGGUUACCGGCCACAUUGGGACUGAGAUACGGCCCAGACUCCUACGGGAGGCAGCAGUGGGGAAUAUUGCACAAUGGGCGGAAGCCUGAUGCAGCAACGCCGCGUGCGGGAUGACGGCCUUCGGGUUGUAAACCGCUUUCGCCUGUGACGAAGCGUGAGUGACGGUAAUGGGUAAAGAAGCACCGGCUAACUACGUG
rnacentral:rRNA from 1 species